rnacentral:rRNA from 1 species
AACGAACGCUGGCGGCAGGCUUAACACAUGCAAGUCGAGCGCCCCGCAAGGGGAGCGGCAGACGGGUGAGUAACGCGUGGGAACGUACCCUUUGCUACGGAAUAGCUCCGGGAAACUGGAAUUAAUACCGUAUGUGCCCUACGGGGGAAAGAUUUAUCGGCAAAGGAUCGGCCCGCGGUGGAUUAGCUAGUUGGUGGGGUAAUGGCCUACCAAGGCGACGAUCCAUAGCUGGUCUGAGAGGAUGAUCAGCCACAUUGGGACUGAGACACGGCCCAAACUCCUACGGGAGGCAGCAGUGGGGAAUAUUGGACAAUGGGCGCAAGCCUGAUCCAGCCAUGCCGCGUGAGUGAUGAAGGCCUUAGGGUUGUAAAGCUCUUUCACCGGAGAAGAUAAUGGCGGUAUCCGGAGAAGAAGCCCCGGCUAACUUCGUGCCAGCAGCCGCCGUAAGAC